UAUUAUUUCUAGGUCAGAGGACGUAAGAACUUUGAGUUUAUGUGUUUUAUGAGAGAUGCACUCGAAAAGCAAAGAUAUUUAACCCCUGAACAACUCAAAACGUACCAGCAAGACAAGAUACUAUUUUUGAGUAAACCUAAAAAGAAAAGCAGUAAGAACUCAUCUGGAGAGGAAACAGAAUAGGGUGUAUUGUAGACAAGAUGUUCCUGGCCCAG